rnacentral:tRNA from 1 species
GCAGUGAUUGUAUAGUGGUUAGUACUCUGCGUUGUGGCCGCAGCCACGCCGGUUCGAAUCCAGGUCACGGCA